rnacentral:rRNA from 1 species
UCUUCCGCAAUGGACGAAAGUCUGACGGAGCAACGCCGCGUGAGUGAAGAAGGUUUUCGGAUCGUAAAACUCUGUUGUUAGAGAAGAACAAGUGCUAGAGUAACUGCUAGCAUCGUGACGGUAUCUAACCAGAAAGCCACGGCUAACUACGUGCCAGCAGCCGCGGUAAUACGUAGGUGGCAAGCGUUGUCCGGAUUUAUUGGGCGUAAAGCGAGCGCAGGCGGUUUCUUAAGUCUGAUGUGAAAGCCCACGGCUCAACCGUGGAGGGUCAUUGGAAACUGGGGAACUUGAGUGCAGAAGAGGAGAGUGGAAUUCCAUGUGUAGCGGUGAAAUGCGUAGAUAUAUGAGAGGAACACCAGUGGCGAAGGCGACUCUCUGGUCUAUAACUGACGCUGAGCACGAAA